rnacentral:rRNA from 1 species
GACGAACGCUGGCGGCGUGCUUAACACAUGCAAGUCGAACGAAGUGGCGAACGGGUGAGUAACGCGUAAUCAACCUGCCCUUCAGCGGGUGACAACAGUUGGACACGACUCCUAAUACCGCAUACUGAAGGAGGGGAUUGCGUCUGAUUAGCUAGUUGGAGGGGUAACGGCCCACCAAGGCGAUGAUCAAUAGCCGGUCUGAGGAGAUGAACGGCCAACAUGGGACUGGGGAAAGGCCCAAGACCCCACCGGAGGCAGCAGUGGGGAAUCUUUCGCAAAGGAAGAAAGUCUGGAGGAGCAAAGGCGGGGGAGUGGUGACGGCCUUCGGGUUGUAAAGAUUUGUUAAUCGGGAAGCGGUACCGGAAUAGAAAGCCACGGCUAACUACGUGCCAGCAGCCGCGGUAAUUC